CACACAAUGUAUCUCACACACACACACACAAAUAAACUUCCACUAAAAAAUUCUUAAUGUUUUUCUAAAUUUAGACACAGGAGGCAUAGAAUCAAGCGAUGAUGAGCACACACCUGAAACAAGAAAAAAAAAUUAAGUGAUCCAUGUGACCUUCCCAGAAAACCUGGAAGACGGAGGAGUAACCCGAUAGACUACCCAACCAUGUGAAGAGAAACAAAAGAGAAAACAGCAGAACAUAGAAAAGAAGACGACUGUUUAAACUGUAACCUUAGCACAGGGGUGGCCAACCAGUCAGAGACCGAGAGCCACAUUUUUGACUGUGUUACCGCAAAGAG